GUCUGCAAGUAAACAAAGUCCUUCCCAAGAAAGAGGAAAGGGAGCAUGCAGGUGUGACCUGCUUCUCUCUGCCUCAUCCUCUGUCCCCUCCGUCUGGAGCAGUGGGAACUUGGCAUGGCCU
rnacentral:miRNA from 1 species